GGGGCUGACUGGUUUUGACAGCGUGUAGAAGUGGUGUGUAAGCGUGCGGAGCUUUGAGACAUAUGCUCUUUAAUAUCAGGUCUCGACCAAUCUAAAUGGCGAAAACAACUACGCUCUUGCUGCUUGAUUGAAGUACAGUAGGUCAGCUUAAUCGCCGCAACAGUUGCAGCGACAAGACAUCACCCGAUUGUCCUUUUUCCGAGACUAAUCGAUAUGGUGGUGCUAUUAUAUCGGAGAUAGGAAACCCGGCGCCUCGCAAGGCUUCCGAAAUUUUAGAGGUUAAGGCCGCGGUUGGUAGUUUCAGGCCUGCCGUAGCUCGAAAAUCAACUUGAGACUAAGCACGUAGAAAGCUCAUUAGUUCCGCGUUUGGACGAGGGUUCGAACCCCUCCAGCUCCACU
rnacentral:tmRNA from 1 species